rnacentral:rRNA from 1 species
CAGCAGCAGCCGCGGUAACACGGAGGGUGCAAGCGUUAAUCGGAAUUACUGGGCGUAAAGCGCACGCAGGCGGUCUGACAAGUCAGAUGUGAAAUCCCCGGGCUUAACCUGGGAACUGCAUUUGAAACUGUCAGGCUGGAGUCUUGUAGAGGGGGGUGGAAUUCCAGGUGUAGCGGUGAAAUGCGUAGAGAUCUGGAGGAAUACCGGUGGCGAAGGCGGCCCCCUGGACAAAGACUGACGCUCAGGUGCGAAAGCGUGGGGAGCAAACAGGAUUAGAUACCCCUGUAGUCCCUGUCUCUUAUAA